GACAGAGGGUGCAAACGUUGUUCGGAUUUACUGGGCGUAAAGCGCGUGUAGGCGGCUUUGCAAGUCGGAUGUGAAAGCCCACGGCUCAACCGUGGAAGUGCAUCCGAAACUGCAUGGCUUGAGUCUCGGAGAGGAAGGUGGAAUGCUUGGUGUAGAGGUGAAAUUCGUAGAUAUCAAGCAGAACACCUGCGGCGAAGGCGGCCCUCUGGACGAUGACUGACGCUGAGACGCGAAAGCGUGGGGAGCAAACAGG
rnacentral:rRNA from 1 species